GACUAUGUCCAAGGCUAAUUCAGAGUAUGAAUACAUAUGUGGGUCAUCUAUACUGAACCAAUGGAUUUUGAUAACCGCCGCUCAUUGUUUGGAUGAUACUGUAAAAGCUACAGCUUCUGUGGGUAACGUAAAUAGGGAAAUUGGAAGGCUCCACCGUGUCGCGAAGUUCAAGCAACACGAACAUUGGGAUACAGUUAGAGUUAUCCACGACAUAGCUUUGUGUAGGCUGAAGAAACCGGUUUCGUUAGGACAUAUGGUGAAGAGAGUGGUGAUGGUAAAGCGCCCACCGAAAGCUAGGGUAGCUGACUUGGCUGGAUGGGGCGCGACCGAGGAAAAUGACUACACAGACACUAUACAGCUGAAACACACAAGACAGAAGCUGUGGAAUCAUAAACAGUGCAGAAAAGUCUUUAGCCGUGCACCCAAGGGAACUAUCUGUGGGGGCGAAGCUCGUGCAAGAGGAAAUUACGCUUCAAAAGGAGACUCAGGUAGCGGGCUCCUAGUAGACAACAAAAUAAUCAUCGGGCUAGUCUCCUUCAAGGACCCCUCCGUCUCACGCAGUCUGGUGAUCUAUUACACGGACGUCCCAUACUUCUACGAUUGGGUUAAACGCACAGCGAAACGCCUAAGGUGCUCUUGACAGUAAAAACAAAAAUAAAAUA